CGAAGGAUCCAAGCGUUAUCCGGAUUUAUUGGGUUUAAAGGGUGCGUAGGCGGAUUGAUAAGUCAGUGGUGAAAGCCUGUUGCUUAACAACAGAACUGCCAUUGAUACUGUCAAUCUUGAAUAUGUUUGAUGUGGGCGGAAUAUGACAUGUAGCGGUGAAAUGCUUAGAUAUGUCAUAGAACACCGAUUGCGAAGGCAGCUCACAAAGCCAUUAUUGACGCUGAGGCACGAAAGCGUGGGGGAUCAAACAGGAUUAGAUACCCUGGUAGUCCACGCUGUAAACUUUGAUCACUCGCUGUUGGCGAUACACUGUCAGCGGCUAAGCGAAAGCGUUAAGUGAUCCACCUGGGGAGUACGAUCGCAAGAUUG
rnacentral:rRNA from 1 species